CUACCAGAGUGCAGAGGAUGCUGAAGAUUGUCCUCCCCAAUGUGUCACCAGUGUUACCACGCUGUUGGAGGCUUUGGGCUGUCACCCGUCCUCUGAGAUGGAUUUCAGACACAGUAAAGAAGGCUGCUUGUCCCUUGCGUGGCUUAUUAUAGUCUUGAUUGAUUGAAUGACAUUGAAUUGUCAUCUGCUGUCUGAGCUGGCCUUACUGCUCCAGUGGCUCACCACUUAGGCAUCCAGAAAUUUUGAGUGAAGAUUGCAUUAAAAGACCACUACAGAGCACUACAAUUUCCCUUAGCUGGAAAACAAAUUUCCUGGAAAGCUUUGUGAUGGCAAGAAGAAUAAUCUGAUGUUACCACCAUUUCUCGUUGAUUCUUUGGCUGGUUUUCUGUCCUGCCGUGUUGCU